rnacentral:rRNA from 1 species
UAGGGAAUCUUCCACAAUGGACGAAAGUCUGAUGGAGCAACACCGCGUGAGUGAAGAAGGGUUUCGGCUCGUAGAACUCUGUUGUUAAAGAAGAACAUAUCUGAGAGUAACUGUUCAGGUAUUGACGGUAUUUAACCAGAAAGCCACGGCUAACUACGUGCCAG